CCCGACCCCUCACUCUUCAAGACCUCUGUCUCUCUCUCCCUGUCUCUUCCUCUCCCCCUUCUCUCCUGAACCUUCUGGUUCUUCUACUCCGGUGGACUUCACCAUCUCUCCGGCCACCUCCAACCUUGCCUCUUUCGACCAUCAGCUACCUUGAAGCCUUAUCUCACAAGUUUCCUCCGUCCCCGAGAUCCAAUGAGUCUCCACCAUACAAGAUGCUCACUGAAGCUUUGCAUGGGUUUGAUUUUGGCCUUUCUCCGAUGAGUUUUGGUUCGAUGGUGCUAUAAACACCAUUAUUCCUAAAGUUUCACAGUUAGGUUUCUCUUACUUCUCUCACUAAAUUCAUAUGAAAACCUAAUCUCGACCCAAACCUCUUAAACUUCUAUAUUUUUAGCGAUUUUUAACUCACACCUUUAUGUCUUGCACUAUCCCCUAACCGAUCUUUACGAUUAUUCAAGUUUUAAACAUUUUUUGUUCCCUUUUAAAACUAGGGUUUCUUAACCCCUUUAGAAAACACUUUAUGUUUUGAUUUUGGGCACUAAUUCAUGAUUCUCAGUACUAUUUCUAAACAUUUUGCUUUAGUCUGAUGAAAUCCUAGCUUUAUGUGUUUGUAAUUAUAUUAUUUACUUGUUUGUGUGUUCUUCUGGGUUCUUCUCUGAGUUCCGUGCUCUUUGCUUUAUUUUUGUUGCUAGUUUCCCCUACCAUUCUGUAUUCUUCGUUUCAGGUUUCUCUAAUUGUUUACAUGGUGAUUUUAUACUGAUUUUUACAAGCUCUCUUAAGACUGUGAUUACUUGCCUUAAAUUGUGAUUUUGUGUAUUCUCCUUACGCUUUGGUAUUGAUUUCGAAUUUCUUCCUCAAUCUGUGGGAUACUUUCCUCAAUUAAUACUGAUCUCCUAGAUUUUCAAUCUCUUUCAUUAUUUUGAAAACUAUUUUCCAGAAUUAAAGUUGUAUUUUCCCUAUAUGUGUUUACAAAUAUGCUGAUUGAUUUGCCUAAUAUAUUUCCCUAAUUAAGUAUCAUGCACCUAGUGUUUAUUGUAAACCUUAUACUAUUCUGUUUCCUUAUGUGAUAAUACCAUGCUUUGUGAUUCCUUUCCUUUUAAAAUAACUGCUUAUUACCGUUUGACUUUGAUUCCUUAAUUAAAGGGGAGUCCAUAUGCUGAUUGGAUUAUGAUUGAUACGCAGUCCUUAGUUAUAGAUUUCUACCUUGUUUGUUUACUCGUCUUCAGUACUAUAAGUACCGCCAUUCUCUUUUGCAUGAGACACCAACACAUUGCAUAUCUCAAAUACACACAACAAUCACAUUGCUCUCUCUUGUACUAUUUUGUCCUUUUCUCUCUUGUUCUGUUGUUUCUCCCUGCUCCUGACUGCCAUUAGCCAGCUGAAAAGCUAAGGCUAAAACUUAUACUUGGCUUUUGCAUUCUGCUGUGCUCUCUUACUACUAGUAUGUCCUGAUUAAUUUCAGAGUUUCCAAAUCAAUAUGGUUAUUACUACUUCAGUGUGUUAUAUUCCUAAUUGUUUUCUACCUAUGCUUCUAUUGUACGACAUGUAAUUGACCCCUGAUUUUCUUGUUGAUACUUGAAUGCUCAUGACAACUAUUUGUUCCUAAUUUCAUCUGUUAUGACUACAUUAUGUUACUACUUACUUUUGUGUCGAAAUUCUACUAUUUAAAGGCCUCUUCAAACUCUUUUGGUUUUGUGUGCUCAUGCUAACUGAAUUUGCACAAGUCUUUGUAUCUCUUGGUGAUAUCAUGUGAUCUAUUAGCCCCUUUUCCCAUUAUCCUUGUGUGCAACUCUCCAAUUUUUUGGAAAACUCUUUAAACUACCAACUUUCCUCUCCUUCCCGCACUUCACACUACUCUUAGAGAUUUGGUUCUACCCUCUUCAUGUGAUAAUUGCUUUGAGUACCCCUGAGUACUCUCUAAACUUUGGCACACAAGUAUGGUAAUUACACAAUGCACCUGUCCAACAUUUUGGUAAGUGUUUGAGUGCUGGUAUUGGCCAGGGACUCAAUGGGGCCCUAGGGAGCUUUGCCUUACCCAGACCAUGACGAAGGCUAUGAAACUCGAAAGGAGUGAAGUUGGAAGAAUGGUCCCGACUGAAGGCUCCCUACAGAAUACCUUCUUAUUUUGUUCUUUAUAUUUGUAAUUUAGCUAUAAUUGGUUUGUAAUAAUUUGUAAACCAAUGAUUGGGGCUGAAUAGUGAAUAUGGGGAAUUAUGCAUGCUUAGUUUAAGUAAUGGGUAGAAAAUAUGCUUAUAGGAUUUUAUUUACUUAUUUACACAAUAGAUAACCUGUAUAGGACAUGCAUCUCAUACAUUAAAGAUCCUGCUUUAGGUUCUUUACUUUCAGCCUAUUAUUAUACUCAUUUCAUAACCAUGAUCUUUUAAUAACAAGCAAAAAUUGUUAUAAGACUAUUGAUAUAUUCUCAUUAGCAUUUAGAAAUCAUGUUUUAGGAAUUUCUAUGUGCAUUAGACAUACUGUUGCUUAGGGUUUUUAUACUUGUCUGAGUUGCAAUUGUUAAAUGCCUC
rnacentral:lncRNA from 1 species